UACGUAGGGUGCAAGCGUUGUCCGGAAUUAUUGGGCGUAAAGAGCUCGUAGGCGGUUUGUUGCGUCGGCUGUGAAAUCCCGAGGCUCAACCUCGGGUCUGCAGUCGAUACGAGCAAACUAGAGUGUUGCAGGGGAGACUGGAAUUCCUGGUGUAGCGGUGAAAUGCGCAGAUAUCAGGAGGAACACCGGUGGCGAAGGCGGGUCUCUGGGCAUCAUCUGACGCUGAGGCGCGAAAGCGUGGGUAGCAAACAGG
rnacentral:rRNA from 1 species